UAUAACUCAAAGUUUGUACAGUAGUCCCCCUUAUCCAGGGACGCCUGUGGCCUGGAAAGAACACGAUGUCACAAUGCCUAUGUCGUUCACCUCACUUCAUCUCAUCACAUAGGCCUUAUAUCAUCUCACGCCAUCACAAGAAGAAGGGAAACUAUCCCAGUGGAAAAUGUGUUGUCUGUGAACUCCUGCAGGCUCCUGGUGAUCACGGCUGUUUCGCCUACAUAUUAAUGACCAACAUGGGACCAUCACUGAGGAACAGAACUUCUUUCUAUUCUGAAAGAAUUUUACUCAAUUAAUUAGGGUAAUCCUAGUAGUUGAAGUAGAUAAAUCCCCGCAUCGCAGGGGCUCAACUCAGUAGCAGGUAUUCCUCACUCGUGUGAAGUCCGAAAGGGGGGUUCCUGAGGAGCCAGGGCUCCCAUCUCCAAGCAAUAAUUCAAGGCUCUUGGCUCCUUCCAACUUGUAGUUCUGAGAUCUUCUGACUAAUACAGCUGAUAGAAAAGAUGAUGCAGGAAUAAAUGAAAAAGAUUUCAGGAGAGAUAAUGAAAACAAUUUUGACUGAUGGGAAUAAAGGAAAAAACAAAAGCAGAGGCGGAAAGAAGCAUAGAAGCCAUGGCACACUCAAACUAGUGUGUAUGGGAAGGUUCUAGACAGGAGCUAUGCCUUCAGCUGAGGGAUGUGGCCAAGGGACUUACGUCAGUGACACAAGGAGGGAGCCGGGAAAUAAAUACCCCGGCCUCACUCGCCUCCUCCAGGGCUCCGCGUUAUCAGAAAUGAACCAGCAGCCAAAGGGUAAAGGAGUUCACUGAAGCUGUUCGUUCAAGUUGGGCUUCCGUAUACGAAACAGGGAGAGAAGGUAGAGAGUGGGUCUGCAGAGGCAAACAAAAGAUAGCAACACAAGAGAGACUGAACAUUUCUGAGUGAGAGUAGCAUUGUCCAGCUAACACUUUACAGAGAUUGAUUUGGUGGCCAUGAAAACAGGGAUUGGAAAGGGGAGAUAUUGGAGGCAAGAAGACCUUUAGGGAACUGAGGCCCAGGACAGGGCCAUGGUAGGACCAGAGGCAAGGGCUGAAUACUGGAAUCAUUGAAUGGUUUGAUGUGAGAGGCAAGAAGAGAGUUGAAGGGCCUUCUAAGACCGCGGUUUUAAAAGGAAGAUGAUGAGUUCAUGUGGGGACAUGUUGAGUAUAAAUUUCCUCGAGACAUCCAUAUGGAGAUGUCCUGAGUCAGCCCAACCCCAGGGGAACUGAUUUUGUCAUCUGGCUCUGCUGCUUUGUGAAGGAGUUCAGAAACGCACAGAUAGGCUUAGCCCAAAGAAAAAUCAUAGAUGCCUAUCUAAAUCAUCUCUCUCUUAACAAAAAAUCUCUGAAAAGCAAAAGACAUUUUAUCUGAAUUCCAUAUCUUUAAGAAUUAUUCAUUUCAUGUUAUACUGCAUUGGUUUCCAGAUGAUGAGUGCUAUACGUGAGCAGAAGGCAACAUUUGCUACCUGAAAUUUAAAUUGAACUUAAAAGUGUCUGUUGGAUUAUCUUCCAGAAGGAGAGAACUGAAUCAGAGUUUGUAAACAUUAGCACUAGUCUCAAAUGCAUGUUUUAAAACACAAAUCGUCACUCUAAAUUUGUUGCUUAAAAACAAAAAUCAAUACAACAGCUCACCAAGCUCAGACUCUUGCUUGCCAAAUAUUUGUCUAAAAUUAAGGUCACUUUGGUAUCAUAACAAAUCCAAUAUUCAAACUAAUUCUUGAGUGAAUGUUGAGAACAACUUUGAAGGAACGUGAAAUAUAAUUCUAAGUUGAACCUAAGUAAACAGACCUAGCUAGUAGUAUGAAUGGCAUUAAUCUAU
ensembl:lncRNA